AACGAACGCUGGCGGCAUGCCUAACACAUGCAAGUCGAACGAGACCUUCGGGUCUAGUGGCGCACGGGUGCGUAACGCGUGGGAACCUGCCCUUAGGUUCGGAAUAACUCCCCGAAAGGGGUGCUAAUACCGGAUAAUGUCUUCGGACCAAAGAUUUAUCGCCUUUGGAUGGGCCCGCGUUGGAUUAGCUAGUUGGUAGGGUAAAAGCCUACCAAGGCGACGAUCCAUAGCUGGUCUGAGAGGAUGAUCAGCCACACUGGGACUGAGACACGGCCCAGACUCCUACGGGAAGCAGCAGUGGGGAAUAUUGGACAAGGGGCGAAAGCCUGAUACAGCAAUGCCGCGUGAGUGAUGAAGGCCUUAGGGUUGUAAAGCUCUUUUACCCGGGAUGAUAAUGACAGUACCGGGAGAAUAAGCUCCGGCUAACACCGUG
rnacentral:rRNA from 1 species